rnacentral:rRNA from 1 species
GACGAACGCUGGCGGCGCGCCUAACACAUGCAAGUCGAACGAGCGAGAGAGAGCUUGCUUUCUCGAGCGAGUGGCGAACGGGUGAGUAACGCGUGAGGAACCUGCCUCAAAGAGGGGGACAACAGUUGGAAACGACUGCUAAUACCGCAUAAGCCCACGGCUCGGCAUCGAGCAGGGGGAAAAGGAGCAAUCCGCUUUGAGAUGGCCUCGCGUCCGAUUAGCUAGUUGGUGAGGUAACGGCCCACCAAGGCGACGAUCGGUAGCCGGACUGAGAGGUUGAACGGCCACAUUGGGACUGAGACACGGCCCAGACUCCUACGGGAGGCAGCAGUGGGGAAUAUUGCACAAUGGGGGAAACCCUGAUGCAGCGACGCCGCGUGGAGGAAGAAGGUCUUCGGAUUGUAAACUCCUGUUGUUGGGGAAGAUACUGACGGUACCCAACAAGGAAGUGACGGCUAACUACGUG